rnacentral:rRNA from 1 species
CCUGGUUGUUCCUGCCAGUAAUCAUAUGCUUGUCUCAAAGAUUAAGCCAUGCAUGUCUAAGUACAUGCCGAAAUAAGGCGAAACCGCGAAUGGCUCAUUAAAUCAGUUAUGGUUCCUUAGAUCGUUUCUUCCUACUUGGAUAACUGUGGCAAUUCUAGAGCUAAUACAUGCAGUGAGCCUGGAGCCCUUUGGGUAACGGGUGCUUUUAUUAGACCAACGAAGAUCGAUCGCGUUUCGGCCCGUAAUUGUGUAGCCUGACUCUGGAUAACUUUGUGCCUGCAUAGCAUGGCCACGAGACGGCGCCGACCUUUCUUUCAAGUGCUCUGCCAUUAAUCAACUUUCGAUGGUAGGUUGCCUUGCUUACCAUGGUUGUUACGGGUAACGGAGAAUCAGGGUUCGAUUCCGGAGAGGGAGCCUGAGAAACGGCUACCACAUCCAAGGAAGGCAGCAGGCGCGCAAAUUACCCACUCCCGGCACGGGGAGGUAGUGACGAAAAAUAACAAUACGGGACUCUUUUGAGGCCCCGUAAUUGAAAUGAGUACACUCUAAAUCCUUUAACGAGGAUCAAUUGGAGGGCAAGUCUGGUGCCAGCAGCCGCGGUAAUUCCAGCUCCAAUAGCGUAUACUAAAGCUGCUGCGGUUAAAAAGCUCGUAGUUGGAUCUCAGUUCCAGACGAGUAGUGCAUCUACCCGAUGCGACGGCUCGCGGACUGAACUCAUGCGCCGGUUCUUUCUUGGUGCACUUCAUUGUGUGCCUCGAGAUGGCCGGUGCUUUUACUUUGAAAAAAUUAGAGUGCUCAACGCAGGCGAGUCGCCUGAAUAAACUUGCAUGGAAUAAUAGAACAAGACCUCGUUUCUGUUCUGUUGGUUUUUGGAAUACGAGGUAAUGAUUAAGAGGGACGGACGGGGGCAUUCGUAUUGCGGCGCUAGAGGUGAAAUUCUUGGACCGUCGCAAGACGAACUACUGCGAAAGCAUUUGCCAAGAAUGUUUUCAUUGAUCAAGAACGAAAGUCAGAGGUUCGAAGGCGAUCAGAUACCGCCCUAGUUCUGACCAUAAACGAUGCCAACCAGCGAUCCGCCUGAGUUACUCAAAUGACUCGGCGGGCGGCAGCCUUCCGGGAAACAAAGUAUUUGGGUUCCGGGGGGAAGUUUAUGGCUUGCCAACGCCUGAAACUUAAGCGAAUUGACGGAAGGGCACCACCAGGAGUGGAGCCUGCGGCUUAAUUUGACUCAACACGGGAAAACUUACCCGGCCCGGACACUGGGAGGAUUGACAGAUUGAGAGCUAUUUCUUGAUUCGGUGGAUGGUGGUGCAUGGCCGUUCUUAGUUGGUGGAGCGAUUUGUCUGGUUAAUUCCGAGAACGAACGGACUCUGCAUAUUAAUAGGUGCGGGCGUUCCAAGCACCUUAUACACAACCUUCUUAGAGGGACAAGCGGCUCCUAGCCGCACGAAACAGAGCAAUAACAGGUCUGUGAUGCCCUUAGAUGUCCGGGGCCGCACGCGCGCUACACUGAAGGAAGCAGCGUGUCUUUAUCCCUGUCUGAAAAGACUGGGUAACCCGUGGAACUUGCUUUCGUGAUGCGGAUAGGGGCUUGCCAAUUGUUCCCCUUGAGAGAAUUCCGCCCAGUAAGCACGAGUCAUAAGCUCGCGUUGAUUACGUCCCUGCCCUUUGUACACACCGCCCGUCGCUACUACCGAUUGAAUGAUUUAGUGAGGUCUUCGGACCGAUGUCCGGCGCGGCCUUUCGGUUGCGCCGGUCUGUUGGAAAGAUGACCAAACUUGAUCAUUUAGAGGAAGUAAAAGUCGUAACAAGGUUUCCGUAGGUGAACCUGCGGAAG